GGACAUGCAAUCACAGUUGUCUUUUGCUAGUGAAGUUUUAUCUAAGCAGCAGGCUUGGCUAAAUGGCAUCAUAAGUGUGUGAAGUCACUUUUAACUUGCAGCAAGUCAUUUAAAAUAGGAAUCCAUAGCAAAAAGAUUCCCUUUAAGCCAGGAAAUUCUCCCUUGGGACUUGCCUCUGAGACUUCUGUAAGUUUUAAUGGUUUUCUUAGAAACCCAAGAACUUCCUUUUCUUUCCAUUUUGGUGCUAGAGAGAAGCAGAGCAUGAUUUUUCUUUCCAUCUUUUCAAAAUCUGGAAUCACUCUCAGUGUUUACGCUCUUAGUAUUCCACAUGUUGUAGCCUUAUAUUUUCCUCGCUUUUGUAUUGUUCAGCUUGACCCUGGAAGUCUGGGAUUUAACACAAUCUGGUUGUAUUGUAUCAAACCGCAUCAUUUCUCGGUGGCGCUGCUGGGCAUGUGCACCAAAGCUCUCGGAGCUGGUGCAGCUACGCAGGUGUAAAAUCUGCGUGCGAGAGAACAGAAUCCGAUCCUGGGUUACGCAAACGAUAGCCGAAGCGAACAGGCACCCAGCAUGGCAGGGACGGAGCCCGGGCUCCCGUAAUGUCUUCUCUUCACGCAGUAGUUAUUGUGGCAGGUGAAUUCAGCAUCCCUAUGGAGCGUGCUAUAGUUACUGUGGAGGGACAAACAGUCUGCUGCUGCGUGUGGAACAACAGCAUGGCACAGUUGAGCACCUUAAGACCCCACGCUCUCUUAUCCUGUGGAAGUGCUGGGAGGAUUUAUCAUGGGUGUUUUGCAGUUCUUGCAAAGGACCUGCUUGCCGGUGACGGGUGCGGAAGAUGCCUUUUACGAGGUCCGAUCCAGCCCUACGUAGUCAAAGAUUCAUUUCCCAGCGACAAGGGAAGGGUAAAGCCCGCAGUGAUUGAGAUUGCCGAGAUAGGAGGUUGCUGGUGCUGAGGACUGUUGGGGCCAUGUUGGUUUGGCGGAAGGAGAGCCAAGUCCUGCACCUCGUACGGCGAAGGGUCGGUCCUGUCCUGGGCCGGAGAGCGGUGGCUUUGCCCUGCUCUGGACCACUGGAGGUGGUAACACCUUGUAGUCCAGGAGAUGGUCCUGCUGCUCAGGAGGAGGUGUCCAAACUUGAGUUAUUCUCUGUCACUUCCUGCAUGUUAAAAAAUGUCUUUGUCCGUGUGAGUUUUAAGCCGAAUUAGUGAGGUCGUGGGCAGAACACGCGCAAGGAAGCUAAUCCGAGGGGGAAAACUGGGGGAGGAGGACCUGGUGCUCCCCAAAUAGCCUUGGUACGUCCCUCUCGGGGCUCUUCUGGCUCGGCGUGCCGAGGUGCCGGCCCGGGACGCCCCGCGCGGGCUGGCAGCGGCACCGCGCCCUCGUGGCAGGGUGAACGUUGGCUCCUUCCCCGCAGCUGCGCAGGUGUCUUUGAGAUGGAUGUUGUAAUUUUGUAUGUUUAAAAAUACGGAUGAAACGCGGGGUUCCGCGGGCUGAGGCAGUGCAGUUGGUGAGCGGYGAUGCCAGCAGCGUUUUCUUUGGUUGCAGCGGUUGGGGUUUGCUCUGGCUGUUGCUGGUGGGAGCGCGUUCCUCGGCCCCGUUUUCGGGCAGCUUCCAGCACUUCCUUGGGGUGCGCAGUGCUCGAAGCGGUCGGCUUUCACCCCUCGCGCUGGAGCUGCAGCCCCCUCCCACCCCUUCGUUUCCAGUAAUCUCCUUUCCUUCGGACGAAGGCGUAAGCGGUAAAUACCUACAACUGCUUAGUUUUUAUAAACUCWGUUAACUGCAAAAUAUUUGUUAAUGAAAUAAUUAGUGUAAAGCACCAAGUAAAGCUUUGAAAAUCAGCUAACUUCAUUACAGUAAAAUGGAAAAUGCAUUCCCUACUUAUUGGGGMCGCUAGGGAAGGGGUUAUGGAAAUACUUCCCGAGCAGGAUGGUGUAUUAACGCUUUAGCUGUGAAGCACUGGGAAGCACAUGUGGCAAAUUGCAGAGAGUGCAGAAACGCUGAGCACAAGGUCCCAGCGCUUAACCUGGGCCAGCGAAACGGGGUUGUGCUCGAGGCGAGUGUCCGCGUGCGGGGCAGUCUGCUCCGCUGCUGGCAGGGCGCUCGGCUUUGGCGAGGCAAUAAUAGAUAUGAAUAAGUAAAACAAGGAGCCAGAUGAGGACGCUGCCUUGACUCGCCCGUUCACCGGAGUACCAGCACCCUGCAAGGACUCGCUGUUUCGGGGCCGGCCUUUGGAAGGGGAAGAAGGCUCCUCCUGUGGUUUUUACUCGGAUGCUCUGCACAGUAGAGGUUCAGGUGUUUAAUUUUAGAACAUGAAGUGCCUGCUGUUUGCGUUAACAGAAUUGCAUGUCUCCCUGCGCUCGGUUUGUUGGCCUCCCUCCUUCCCCCACCUUUCUAGCUACGUGGCUUUUAAUCAUGUAAAGUGGAGACAUUAGUUUUGCUGCGUUUUAUUACAAAACCUUUUGUUGCAAUAAAGAUGCUGCUAAAUAAAUUGAAUUAAAUGGU
ensembl:lncRNA